rnacentral:misc_RNA from 1 species
AACUGAUACUACCUGCGGGAACCUGCGGAAGGAUCAUUGGUGAACGCCCUCACGGGCUUAUAACUAUUCCAAACCUCUGUGAACCGUGCCCUUCGGGGCUAUUUUACAAACAUGGUGUAAUGAACGUCAUAUAUCAUAACAAAACAAAACUUUCAACAAUGGAUCUCU